rnacentral:rRNA from 1 species
UGAGGAAUAUUGGUCAAUGGACGAGAGUCUGAACCAGCCAAGUAGCGUGAAGGAUGAAGGUCCUACGGAUUGUAAACUUCUUUUAUAAGGGAAUAAAACCUCCCACGUGUGGGAGCUUGUAUGUACCUUAUGAAUAAGCAUCGGCUAACUCCGUGCCAGCAGCCGCGGUAAUACGGAGGAUGCAAGCGUUAUCCGGAUUUAUUGGGUUUAAAGGGAGCGCAGACGGGUCGUUAAGUCAGCUGUGAAAGUUUGGGGCUCAACCUUAAAAUUGCAGUUGAUACUGGCGUCCUUGAGUGCGGUUGAGGUGUGCGGAAUUCGUGGUGUAGCGGUGAAAUGCUUAGAUAUCACGAAGAACUCCGAUUGCGAAGGCAGCACACUAAGCCGUAACUGACGUUCAUGC